AAGGAGCACUUCUACACGAACUCUUCGAACAGUCGAAUGAGGGCGUGUCAGAGACCGUUUCGGAUGCAUACGUCAUCCGGCGGACGCUCAUGGGUGGAACACUGACAGUCUUCAUCGCAUCAUGGUCGCGGCAACGCUGUGACCGCGGUGAAUAUACCGACACACUAUUGGGUCCUGAAAGAACACGCGAGUGUCCUUUCUGGAUAUCAACAAACGACAAGAUCGAAUCUUCGGUCAUACCGGCUCUCUUCGGAGGGUGCUGGUGCCGAGUAGGGAUUUGGACUUGUGUGUUGUUUGAGAACUGCACAGUGGACGCGAGCAUCUUUGUUA
rnacentral:misc_RNA from 1 species